rnacentral:rRNA from 1 species
GGUUUAAGCAUGUAGGCGGAGAGUUUAGGUAAAUCCGGACUCUUGUUAACGCUGAGGUGUGAUGACGAGGCACUACGGUGCUGAAGUAACAAAUGCCCUGCUUCCAGGAAAAGCCUCUAAGCAUCAGGUAACAUCAAAUCGUACCCCAAACCGACACAGGUGGUCAGGUAGAGAAUACCAAGGCGCUUGAGAGAACUCGGGUGAAGGAACUAGGCAAAAUGGUGCCGUAACUUCGGGAGAAGGCACGCUGAUGGUAAGUAAAGCGACUUGCUCGUGGAGCUGAAAUCAGUCGAAGAUACCAGCUGGCUGCAACUGUUUAUUAAAAACACAGCAC